rnacentral:misc_RNA from 1 species
AACGCACAUUGCGCCCCUUGGUAUUCCGGGGGGCAUGCCUGUUCGAGCGUCAUUAUCACCCCUCAAGCUCAGCUUGGUGUUGGGGCCUGCCCGUCACAGGGCAGCCCUUAAAAGCAGUGGCGGCGCCAUCUGGCUCUACGCGUAGUAAUACUCCUCGCGACAGAGUCCCGGUGGUGUCCUGCCAGAACCCCCCAUAUUUUUAAUGAUUGACCUCGGAUCAGGUAGGGAUACCCGCUGAACUUAA